rnacentral:tRNA from 1 species
GGAGAGGACCUGUGGCUCAGCAGAAGAGCUUCUGCUUGGAUUGCAGAAGGUCCCGGGUUCGAUCCCCGGAACCUCCA